UGCUUCGUUCACACUGGCUGUGGUCUUCCGCUCCUGAGGUUUCAGGCACUUGGCAGUGAAACUAGAAAUCUGGAGCUGGGAAUUUGAAAUUUUGUUCACUGAUGGAUUUGCAGCAUGGAGAACCGGCUCAUGGAAGGCACUCAUUUCUUCAGUGAAUGAAAGUGGCACAGCAGGGUCAGAGUGCAGACCUGAGACCACUGUUCACCGACUUCAGACUCCAGUUUAUUUGUGCCCCGGCUUCCUCACUUAGUCUCAGAAGACUUAGGCUGAGGCCCCAGGAGGAG